AAGAAUCUGGGUUCUGUGACUCAGUACUAGCGUCCAUAGCUCAGGAGUUGGAGCUAACAAGUAAACAAAAGCACCUUUGUUACUCAAAACCUUGGACCCAAAAGGUUUACCUAUCCAUUCAGAAUGCUUAAAAGCACCAAAACGAUUCUGCAGAACCCCAUCCUCACUGACUUUCACUGCUUUCAUUGUGUCGUGCCUCUCGUACACAAUGACCAAAUCUCCAUCUUUAAUAAAACGCUUAAACGAUAAUUUAUUUGCUGGGUCAAUU
rnacentral:misc_RNA from 1 species